GUGCUGUGGAUGAUGAGAUUAUAAAUUUUACAGUUAUCCCUGGCUGAGUAUCAGGUGCUGAAAUUUUGUAAUCUGACACGCAC
rfam:Cajanus cajan CcLG08_1084, whole genome shotgun sequence.